AUCGAACGCUGGCGGCAGGCCUAACACAUGCAAGUCGAACGAGUGGCGGACGGGUGAGUAAUGUCUGGGAAACUGGCUGAUGGAGGGGGAAAACUAGUGGAAACGGUAGCUAAUACCGCAUACUAUCAGAUGUGCCCAGAGUGGCGUAGCUAGUUGGGGGGGUAACGGCUCACCAAGGCGACGAUGCCUAGCUGGCCUGAGAGGGUGACCGGCCACACUGGAACUGAGACACGGCCCAGACUCCUACGGGAGGCAGCAGUGGGGAAUCUUCGACAAUGGGCGCAAGCCUGAUCGAGCAAUGCCGCGUGUAUGAAGAAGGCCUUCGGGUUGUAAAGUUCUUUCGUCGGGGAGGCGUUACCCGCAGAGAAAGCACCGGCUAACUCCGUGCCAGCAGCCGCGGUAAUUC
rnacentral:rRNA from 1 species